UGGGGAAUAUUUCACAAUUGGCGCAAGCCUGAUGCAGCCAUGCCGCGUGUAUGAAGAAGGCCUUCGGGUUGUAAAGUACUUUCAGUCGGGAGGAAGGUGGUAAGGUUAAUAACCUUGGCAAUUGACGUUACCGACAGAAGAAGCACCGGCUAACUCCGUGCCAGCAGCCGCGGUAAUACGGAGGGUGCAAGCGUUAAUCGGAAUUACUGGGCGUAAAGCGCACGCAGGCGGUUGAUUGAGUCAGAUGUGAAAUCCCCGGGCUUAACCCGGGAAUUGCAUCUGAUACUGGUCAGCUAGAGUCUUGUAGAGGGGGGUAGAAUUCCAGGGGUGGCGGUGAAAUGCGUAGAGAUCUGGAGGAAUACCGGUGGCGAAGGCGGCCCCCUGGACGAAGACUGACGCUCAGGUGCGAAAGGGUGGGGGGCAAACAGG
rnacentral:rRNA from 1 species